rnacentral:lncRNA from 1 species
AUGUCCCAGUCUGGAAAAGUCCUUCAUCUGUACGUGGAGGUAAGGUCAGCCCCGGAGCAGGAUGGGAAUGGGGGCUUGGGGGGAGGAGUGGAGGGUCCUGGGACUGGGAGUAACUCAGCCUCAGCACAGGAUGGGCCAGCUGGGCUUUUGUCCAAGCUAACCUGCCAGACAAAAUGUCAGACUCCUACCAAAGUACAAACGCACCGCCUAGACCAUAACUUCACUCACACUCAGUCUCCCUCCAGACACACAGUGAGCUUCCAGCUCCACCAAGGCAAUGGCAACCAGUCACCUAGCAUCUCCAAGCGGCAGAGUUUACCAGCAGCACUGACCCACUCCCCAGCCUUUUCCAGAAAUGGGAGGACCACCACCCCCCACAAACCCUCCUCCAAAGGGCAGGGGGUGGGGGGUGAUGCCAAACGCUCGGUGGUCACCUUCAGCUACAUUGAGAAGGCUAACGUCAAGAGAGUGGAGAGCCCACAGAACUCUGCCUGUCAGAGGAGGUCUAGGGAGGAGAGGUCAUCCCCACCUUCCUACCCCCGGAAGAGACUCAGCGACCCCAUCUGGUUGGGUAGUCCUGGCUCCUCCUGCAGCUCCAGUCCCAAACUAGCGUUUCGUCCCCCAGGGUGUAUCCAGCAACAACAGCAACCGUCAGUCUCCCCCAGCCACUGCCACCCCGUCUUGGAUCCCGUCGGCAGGGCAGCCACCCAGCUUGCCCUGGAAGAGUUUGGGUUUGGUUCCCCCCUGCACAGGAGUAAGAUUCUCCAUGGGCUUGAGCAGAGUCCCAGGGGCUCCCGCCACAACCAGCAGGCCGGUUGCCUGUCAUGGGCAGGCGGCUCUCCUGUCCCACGCCACAGCGCCUGCAAUAAUCACGCCAUGGACACAGAUAGAAACCGGGCCAUUUGCGGGCCAUUACCCAGGAGCCCAGCCUCCGACCAGCUUUCGUCUCAUGCUAGCCAGGCCGCUCUGGGUAUGUCUCCUAACUCAAGACCCAGGUUGUGUAUGGGGCCCAAGGCCCAGAGCCCACACCAAUGGGAAGGUCAGGACAAAGCUAUCACAGGGAGUCCAGCCACCCAGAGACAAGUACACAAGCCCUGUAACAGCAGUUCCUCCCCUCAAGGGACCAUUCUCCAACUUAGCAAUAAACUAGGGGUGGGAACUGUACUGAACCAGCUAAGUGGUAGCAAACCCUCCUCACCAUCCAACAGCCCUGAAGUGGCCCGUAGGCUAGCUGAGGAGGCUACUAAAGUGUCCUCUAUUUUAGCAGAAGUAAGGAGGAACUCAUUGACAUUGCACAGCACUUUAGACGAAGUAGAGAGCCCCAACUGUGGAUGUAUGUCCAGAGAAGCCACCAGUUCUGUCCCAAAAGCACAACUGCAACAUUUGCAGCAUCAGAAAGUUAAGAUGAACAUCCCUUUACACGGCCUACACACACCAGCAUCCAACGACACUGACUCUCAACAGGCUGGAAACUCUUUACCAUCGUCACGCACACAGGACACAAACACUCCAACACUAACCAAUCAUAGGACACAGCAUGGAGGAGGGUGGGCUCUGGGUCAGAGCUCCAUCCUAUCAAACGCAGUAGUGGGUGGAGGAGUGUCCCCAGCCCUGCCUUCACGCUUCCUCCGUCCAUUUCUUCCCCCAGCCGAGACCAGCUCCCCUCUGAGGGACCCCAGGCUGCUGAGAGCCCAGCUCAGAGUCACUGACAGCCCCACGCUGCACCGCUGUCAGCCCCCUCAAUACACUGGAGAUUUCUGGUCCUUCGAGCCAGACAGGACAGCCGACUUGUCCUGCUUCGACAGGGGGGACAGUGCCGAGCUGGCCCGUAGGCUCUACAUACGCCAGAGUGUGGAAGAAGCCCCUGUCAGCUGGACUUCCAGGCAGCCCUGGAGCCACCUGGUAGGGGAGGAGAGCAGUAGCUCCAGUUCCAGCCCCAGACAUGGACCUGGACCCGGUCAGCAGCCCUUGAGCACGGCCCAGCAGAAGAGGGCUGAGCAGAGGAGGAGGGAGGUUCUGCUGCUGGGCCCUGUGGUGCUGGACUCCCCAGAGGAGGACGAGGGCCUGGAUGGGGAUGGGGAAGGGGAGGAGGUUUCGGGACAAGGGCAGCAGCCAAGCCUGCUGAGGGUGGAGGAGCCUCAAGGGGGGGAGCGAAUUGGGAUAGAGGGGUCCUCGUCGCGCAGCUCCAGCGGGGUGACGGGCAGCCUAGGUGAAAGGGAAUGUGUGUCCCCAGAGUCCAGUCAGUCCAGCCACCAGAGCAACGAGACAGGGGCUGCCACUUCAGGGAUACAGGUGAGACAUUUCUCUUCUUACACUGCCCUACAUAUUUAUUUGCACAGUGAAGUUAAAACUUUUAAUUUGUCUCUAUUCUCCAGCAUUUUGGAUUUGUCAUUUUGGAUGACUACUUUAAAACACAUAUAA